rnacentral:rRNA from 1 species
UACGAACGCUGGCGGCGUGCUUAACACAUGCAAGUCGAACGGUGAAGCGCCUUCCUUUUUGGUGGGUGUGGAUGAGUGGCGAACGGGUGAGUAACACGUGAGUAACCUGCCCCCUUCUUCUGGAUAACCGCAUGAAAGUGUGGCUAAUACGGGAUAUUCUGGGUCUGUCGCAUGAUGGGUCUGGGAAAGAUAUUGUUUCGGUGGGGGAUGGGCUCGCGGCCUAUCAGCUUGUUGGUGGGGUGAUGGCCUACCAAGGCGGUGACGGGUAGCCGGCCUGAGAGGGUGGACGGUCACACUGGGACUGAGACACGGCCCAGACUCCUACGGGAGGCAGCAGUGGGGAAUAUUGCACAAUGGGCGCAAGCCUGAUGCAGCGACGCCGCGUGAGGGAUGGAGGCCUUCGGGUUGUGAACCUCUUUCGCCAGUGAAGCAGGCCUGCCUCGUUUGUGGGUGGGUUGACGGUAGCUGGAUAAGAAGCGCCGGCUAACUACGUG